AGUGAACGCUGGCGGUAGGCCUAACACAUGCAAGUCGAACGGCAGCACAGUAAGAGCUUGCUCUUACGGGUGGCGAGUGGCGGACGGGUGAGGAAUACAUCGGAAUCUACUUUUUCGUGGGGGAUAACGUAGGGAAACUUACGCUAAUACCGCAUACGACCUACGGGUGAAAGCAGGGGAUCUUCGGACCUUGCGCGAUUGAAUGAGCCGAUGUCGGAUUAGCUAGUUGGCGGGGUAAAGGCCCACCAAGGCGACGAUCCGUAGCUGGUCUGAGAGGAUGAUCAGCCACACUGGAACUGAGACACGGUCCAGACUCCUACGGGAGGCAGCAGUGGGGAAUAUUGGACAAAGGGCGCAAGCCUGAUCCAGCCAUACCGUGUGGGUGAAGAAGGCCUUCGGGUUGUAAAGCCCUUUUGUUGGGAAAGAAAAGCAGCAGGUUAAUACCCCGCUGUUCUGACGGUACCCAAAGAAUAAGCACCGGCUAACUUCGUG
rnacentral:rRNA from 1 species